rnacentral:rRNA from 1 species
UACGAAGGGGGCUAGCGUUGCUCGGAAUUACUGGGCGUAAAGGGCGCGUAGGCGGGUCGGCAAGUCAGGGGUGAAAGCCCGCGGCUCAACCGCGGAAGUGCCUUUGAUACUGCCGGUCUUGAGGGAGGCAGGGGAGCGCGGAACUUCCGGUGGAGCGGUGAAAUGCGUAGAUAUCGGAAGGAACACCGGUGGCGAAAGCGGCGCUCUGGUCCUCUUCUGACGCUGAGGCGCGAAAGCCAGGGGAGCAAACGGG